rnacentral:rRNA from 1 species
UACGUAGGGUGCGAGCGUUGUCCGGAAUUAUUGGGCGUAAAGAGCUCGUAGGCGGUCUGUCGCGUCGAAUGUGAAAACCCGGGGCUCAACUCCGGGCUUGCAUUCGAUACGGGCAGGCUAGAGUUCGGUAGGGGAGUCUGGAAUUCCUGGUGUAGCGGUGAAAUGCGCAGAUAUCAGGAGGAACACCGGUGGCGAAGGCGGGACUCUGGGCCGAUACUGACGCUGAGGAGCGAAAGCGUGGGGAGCGAACCGG